rnacentral:rRNA from 1 species
CGGCGAGUGAAGCGGCAACAGCUCAAAUUUGAAAGCUGGCCUUCGGGUCCGCAUUGUAAUUUGUAGAGGAUGCUUUGGGUGAAACGCCAGUCUAAGUUCCUUGGAACAGGACGUCAUAGAGGGUGAGAAUCCCGUAUGUGACUGGAAAUGUUAACCUAUGUAAAGCUCCUUCGACGAGUCGAGUUGUUUGGGAAUGCAGCUCUAAAUGGGAGGUAAAUUUCUUCUAAAGCUAAAUAUUGGCGAGAGACCGAUAGCGCACAAGUAGAGUGAUCGAAAGAUGAAAAGCACUUUGGAAAGAGAGUUAAAAAGCACGUGAAAUUGUUGAAAGGGAAGCGCUUGCAAUCAGACUUGUUUAAACUGUUCGGCCGGUCUUCUGACCGGUUUACUCAGUUUGGACAGGCCAGCAUCAGUUUCGGCGGCCGGAUAAAGGCUCUGGGAAUGUGGCCUUCACUUCGGUGAAGGUGUUAUAGCCCAGGGUGUAAUACGGCCAGCCGGGACUGAGGUCCGCGCUUCGGCUAGGAUGCUGGCGUAAUGGUUGUAAGCGACCCGUCUUGAGCACCGGACCAAAA